rnacentral:misc_RNA from 1 species
GAUGAAGAACGUAGCGAAAUGCGAUACGUAAUGUGAAUUGCAGAAUUCAGUGAAUCAUCGAGUCUUUGAACGCACAUUGCGCCUUUUGGUAUUCCGAAAGGCACACCUGUUUGAGCGUCAUGAAUACCUCAAUCUCCAUCUUUUCUUCGGAUUGAUGGGUGACUUGGAUGUUGAGCCCUGCUGGUAUGCUAUAUCAGCUGGCUUUAAACUUAUUAGCCGGCUCUGUACUGGAUCGGUUUGACUCGACGUGAUAAUAUUAUCGUUGAGGAUGCAUGUCUCAUGCAGCCGGAAAGUAUCAAAGCAGCUUCUAGCUUGCCUUUAGUGCACUUUUACAUUUUAGACCUCAGAUCAGGUGGGACUACCCGCUGAACUUAAGCAUAUCAAUAAGCGGAGGA